CGAGCGAACUGAUUAGAAGCUUGCUUCUAUGACGUUAGCGGCGGACGGGUGAGUAACACGUGGGCAACCUGCCUGUAAGACUGGGAUAACUUCGGGAAACCGAAGCUAAUACCGGAUAGGAUCUUCUCCUUCAUGGGAGAUGAUUGAAAGAUGGUUUCGGCUAUCACUUACAGAUGGGCCCGCGGUGCAUUAGCUAGUUGGUGAGGUAACGGCUCACCAAGGCAACGAUGCAUAGCCGACCUGAGAGGGUGAUCGGCCACACUGGGACUGAGACACGGCCCAAACUCCUACGGGAGGCAGCAGUAGGGAAUCUUCCGCAAUGGACGAAAGUCUGACGGAACAACCCCGCGUGAGUGAUGAACGCUUUCGGGUCGUAAAACUCUGUUGUUAGGGAAAA
rnacentral:rRNA from 2 species